UACAGAGGUCUCAAGCGUUGUUCGGAUUCAUUGGGCGUAAAGGGUGCGUAGGCGGUGAGGUAAGUCUGGUGUGAAAUCCCGGAGCUCAACUCCGGAACUGCACUGGAUACUGCCUUACUUGAGCACUGGAGAGGGAACUGGAAUUUACGGUGUAGCAGUGAAAUGCGUAGAUAUCGUAAGGAAGACCAGCGGCGAAGGCGAGUUCCUGGACAGUUGCUGACGCUGAGGCACGAAGGCCAGGGGAG
rnacentral:rRNA from 1 species